GCCAAGCGACCUCUUGUGGUCAUAUGAGGUUUAGCAAGAAAUUAGAAAGUGACCUCAUCAGUAUUAGCCUAUACAAUUAGUGAUGUCAUCAAAAAGAGACUGAAUCAGAGGCAGAGAUCUUUCAUGUUAUGGGCAUUCAUUAAUCCAAAAGACAUCCUCCGUUCAAAGUUAUUAAUAAGGCAUUCCCUUUUCACACCAUUUAUGUGAUAAAGCUACACUCUCAACAUCACCUUGUGGUUCCGGGAGUUAUUGCAUGAAGGUGUUGAACUUGCUGGACAAUUGAAUGUGGGUUCAACGAGGCCAGUACAAUACUAAUAAAGUAAACUAUCUACAAAAAAUCAGAUGAGCCCUGAAUAUGAAUGCAACUCAUUUGAGGUUUGGGUGAAUAACCAAACUCUCAAUGAAACUGGAGUACAGUUUUGGCAUGGGAGAGAUUCUGAGAUAAGUGAACCUGAUAACUGGAAACAAGUGGAUCCCACUGGAGAAAACUGUGCACUUGUGAACAGUAAUUUCAACAAUU